rnacentral:rRNA from 1 species
UACGGGGGGGGCAAGCGUUGUUCGGAUUCAUUGGGCGUAAAGGGUGCGUAGGUGGCGCGGUAAGUCGGGUGUGAAAUCUCGGAGCUUAACUCCGAAACUGCAUUCGAUACUGCCGUGCUUGAGGACUGGAGAGGAGACUGGAAUUUACGGUGUAGCGGUGAAAUGCGUAGAUAUCGUAAGGAAGACCAGUGGCGAAGGCGGGUCUCUGGACAGUUCCUGACGCUGAGGCACGAAGGCCAGGGGAGCAAACGGG